CAGCUCAUCUUCCCUACCAGCGGCAGCUUGUUCUGCAUCACGGGCGCUUCCUUCAGAAGGAGGAGCUGCCUCAACCUCAACAACGUGAUUUCAGGCGCCAUCAUGCUCCCGAAGAUGUGGCUCAAGAACCUCAUCAUGCUCGCCUGCGUCUCGGCGAUCAGGCUCGUCUCUUCGGUCGCACUGACGGCGCCGCUAGUCUGGGCCGGCAUGGCCGAUAUGUGCUUCCACAUGGCGGGCAGCAGCCUGUUGAACAUGAACCGGGUUGCCCAUCGCCCUCAUCCUCUACUUCCUCUGCUUCGCCGGCCAUGGCUUCUUCCUGACAGUGUACUCCUCGAUGAAGUCCAAGAAGGAUUUUCCCAAAAUACACUUAUUAAAAUUUAUUUAUGUGUUGUUGAUGUUUACUAA
rnacentral:lncRNA from 1 species